GCCUUUGUAGUUCAAGGGAUAGAACGUGGGUUUCCUAAACCUAAGAUUCGAGUUCGAGUCUCGGCGAAGGUA
rnacentral:tRNA from 1 species